AUGAGAUGAUAGGCUCUUUGCAGGAGAGUGGAGAUCCACCGAGCUAUAAAAAAAGACUCUGAAAGUAAGCAAGCUCAAAGUAUGGUUGGUCGGUGAAGAUCGCCACCUUCGUGCUCGCCCAUGGCGUUGAGCUUAGAAAAAGACUGGAGUUGCGUGGAGAGCAAGAAGGUGAUGCUGAAAACCGACAGACUAUGCUGCUGCUUUGAAAGGGUGUUUCGCUUGCUGAGGAUACGGACAAGUGCAGAAGGCUGCGAUUGGUGUUCGGUGAGUAGAAAAGAAUCCCUCUUUCGGAGACUGGAAUUGGGAAGCGGAUGCGCACGCUGUGGGUCUGCUUUCUCUUCCAUGAACAGUUGGUCUUCACUGAUCCUUCGCUUGGAUCAGACUUUUCUUCGUUGAACUUUCGGAUACUGUGGUCAUUGUUAUUGCCCCUAAAUGUGGAAUCUGUAAUGCCCUACGUAGCUCGCAUGCACACACAUACAUGUAUCUUUAAAUGCCUUUUAUAGUGAGACAAAGAAGACCUAAUUGGAAGCUUCCGACUCCUUUUCUUGGAUGCGGGCCCGGUGGUGGUCUUUGGAAACGCUUCUGCUGGCUGCCGCCGGCUCAAAGCAGCUUCCGCCUUCGUGUCGUCGUCACGACGGUGAGCGGACCCGCCAUUCCCCGCAGCCACGAUUUGUGUGCCGUCGCCUCACCUCGCGGAUGGGGACACGGCUUGCUCUGGAAGGAGAUGAAGCAUGGUUAUGGUUCACAAGCACAAUCAAUGAGAAAGCAAACACAAAGUUGGAUAACAAAUUCAAUCUGAAUGAGAGCCAUUCCACUGCAGAAAUAUUAUGGAACCAUGGCCUUGAGUGAUUAUCUAUGAGACUGAGGUUUGUAUUGCUGAAACGGUCUUUCUGCCCAAAUGCUCGAAUAGUUACAGCACCAGAGAGUGAUUCUCCAAAAUGAUGAAGGAUCGGAGCUUUCUGGAUUUCUGACAACCGAGCCAACUCUCUUGCAGUGGCUGGCGUUGAGUCAAAGAAGGACAUUGGGGCACGAACGAUAGAGUGGAGCAUCUUUUGGAAAAAAAUUUGAGAUGUCAAAAGGCCCGUUUUUACAAGCAGAGUUGCUCGGAUCAACACACACAGUGAACAUCCAACUGAAAGAAGUAUAUACACUAAGAAGAGAAACUUGAGUCCCACUGUAGACUCUGUAGUUGUAGAUGGAGGAGAAGCCCAUGCCAUCCAAUAGUUGCUUGCUACUUGCAGUACCUGGAAAAAUGCUUGUGCUAUGACUAUUAUGGGAACCAAGGCACCUCCUCGUGCUGCAGUCAGGAUAACCUUGAACAGUUGAGUGCCUGUAUGAGCAUCCAAAGCGCUGAAAGGGUCAUCAAGAAGGUCCCCAUUAGCAAAGAGCUCAAAAUCCUUCUUCAGAGCACAAACCUCAAUUGUCUUUUCAUACUUUUCAUUGUGAAAAGGAUUUCCAAAGACAAUAUUUUCUCUAAUAUUUCCUGACAGUAUCCAUGGGGAUUGUGAAACAUAUGCUUUGCUGCCCCUAAUUUUUACUCUCCCUCCAAGCUUUGGUAUUUCUCCAAGGAUGCAUGAGAGUAAACUAGACUUUCCCGAACCAACAGUACCACAAACAGCCACCUUCAUUCCCCUAUGCACCUUCAGCUGUAUAUUUUCAAGUGUGGGGCAUCCUGAGUCUUGGUUCCAGCUAAAUGUCCCACGAUCAAUCUCAACAUCAACCUCUGCUUGAUUUCUGGGAGCAAUUUCAACCGCAUCAGCUCUCAUUUCGUCUUCUUGGAGGUACUUUGCUAUUCUGUCAGCUGAAACUUUUCCUUGUGCAAGUACUGAAAGCAGAUCGGGUAGAGUAAAGAUUGGUUCUUGCAGCAUUCUGAAUGUUGCCAAUGCAGACAAAACUCUUCCUGCAGUUAGAGGGAUUCCUAUGAUUAUACACGUUCCAAAUGUCACCACUGAUAUGAACAUCGGUGCUCCCCAGAAUAUAAAAGAUGAAAUUGCUUGCAAUCUUAAAGACAUCCACAGCCAAUUGUGCUCAGUGUUUCUCAGGUCUUCUAACUUGCGAAGUUAAGGGAAUAUUGCAUGCCAUUAUCAUUGUUGUUGCUGCUAAUCCAGCCAAAGCUCCAACUCCAAGAUUUUUAUAAAGAACAUAUAUUGCUAGUGCAAUCUGGACGGGAAGCAUCCAAAUUAUGUUUGAAUACCAUAUCAGGUCGGUAAUCCUUUGGAUAUCCACACUCAUGUAGUUGAUAAUCUCCCCACUCGUAUGGCUCUGCCGAGACUGACUUGAUAAAAUGAGGCCCUUUUUGUAUAUAUGAGAUAUUAGAACAGCUCUUAAGCGCAUUCCAAGCUGUCGAGCUCCAAAAAUCCAUUGUCUCUGACACACAGUCUCUACAACUUUGGCACCGAGAAAUGCAAGUGCAAUGAAGGUCCAACAUAAGAGGCCCCUGCAGCUGCAACUGCAAAGCUUGCAUUAAUCACAGCCUUCUUCCAGAUGAACAUGAAGAUUGCUCUGUAGAUUGAUGAAGUUCUCAAGCCGUAUCUUUCUUUGACGUUAUUC